rnacentral:lncRNA from 1 species
AUGAGUAAUGUGAGGAGAGAAACAAAAAGGAGAAUGGAAUCUCAACAAAAGCAAGUGAUAUUUAAGAACUCCAGGUUCUUGGAGGAGUACAUAAGCUAUAAUAUAAAGUGCAAUGAAUGCCAGAUAAGUUCCUCCUGGUUUCUCCUCUUUAGAAUGAAAGACACUUCUUUGUGCUCACGUGAGUUGCGGAUUAGAUUCUGUAAAAACCACUAUGGUGAUGGAUGCCUAAGUGAUCGCUUGCUGCAGGCCUUGGACCGUGAAGCAGCUGAGAAUAUUAACAGCAACAAACCAGCAACAGUUUUUGCUAGUUUAAGAUCAUGCCAGCCUCUAUUGAUGUAAACAGAGAUUUGAUGGAUGCAAUGAUCUGUCUGCUCUCCAAAAGCAGCACAUAAAACUUAUUUUAAAUUGUUUAUCCUCUUAGAUUUCAUUUGAAAUGCAGGAUGGACUGUGACCGAACUGAUGAUAAUAUUAGAAUAUGACUUUGAGGCACACAAUUAAAGUAGCACACAGCUUCUUUUUUUCUCACUGUGUCUUUGCUGCUUUCUGUCAGUUCCUAUCCCCACAGAAUUUAUUGGGAGCAAAAUGAAACUUUAAAAGAGAAAAAUGAAAACAAAGAAAAAAAAAAGAACGAUGCUAAGGGAAGACCUACUGCUUCAAAUCAGGGACAAAGGCAGAAUAUAGCACUUGUGGCUGUGGAAGGCGCAUUUAGGGCUCUUACAUAACUGCUGAUUUUCACCCCAGACCGUAUCAGUAUGUACGUGUCUGGGAUACGCAGCGCCUGGCAGCUAGUAGCUCUCCUAUGGAGAAAAACUGUUUAAGAUUCUCUCCUCUACCACACUUCCGCUCCUGAAUUCACAAAACACACUUUCAUUUUCCAGACUCAGCAUUUACUUCUCUUAUGCUUUGCUACUGAAUAAUAGUUAUGUAUGUUUUGGCCUAGAAAUGGCACCCCUGGAGUGAGUCAUUGUAACAGUAACUAAUGUGAAAAGUUGAUUUGCAGAUUUUCCUGUGUCAAAUGUUCAUUUCAUGGCAUUAUCACAAAGCAUUUCUUCCAGCAUCAGAAUAGAACAUUGACAUUUCUAGAGACCGAAGUACCAAAAUUGUUGAAAGGAAAUGUAGGGACUAGCUAAUAAAAAAAAAACUAAGGUGCUCUUGCCA